CAUUUUUGCAAGUAUCUUUAAUGUCUGACGGUAGAUGAAAGCUAGAUUCUCUUAUCUACUUCUUUAUUCAGCCUGUUAUAAUAUCACACCAGAUAGCUGCUCAAAAAUUCCUCUGGACACUCAUGAGAAAAUGAGAGUGCAAAAGAUAAAUUAUGUCUUAGUAUUAUAACAAUAGCUUUGACCUAGGAUACUCUUCAAAGGCUCUUGAAGACCCCCAGACCAUACUUUGAGAACCACUGCUCUAGACGAAUGUCAUCAUUUUACAAAUAAGGACCCUGGACCUCAGAGAGAGUAAAUGAGAAAUCCAACAUCACACAGCCUGUCAAUAGUAGGAUACAGACAUUAGAUGGUUUGUCUCACUUCUCUGGGUUUAGGUUCUCAGUUGGAAACCUGGGAAAUACACCCUAAUGGCCUGUCCCAUUCCCUGUAAGUUGCAAAGACUAUCACAAUGUAUUACCCCCAAUCCACUUUUUAAAAAUAAAUUAAUAAUUUUAAAAAUAAUUUAAAUUAAUAAAUCAACAAACUUGGUAAAUUUUGCAACAGGCAUACUGUGUUUGAAUCUAAACUACAAUAUUUGAAUUCUGAUUUCUAUUUGAACAGAACACUAAGGCAAAUUCGACUGCAUCCUAUUCCAUGCAAGCUAGUAAUGACAAACUGCACAGUAAAUAUCACAGAAAAUCAAGAAAUCUUCUUGGCCACCUAGAGAUGAUUUCCUUUGUAUCCUACCAGAUGGUUCAGAUCUUCUUUAAAUGGAACAUAGUUUUGUUCUUUUAAAGAACACAGGGCCCAGAAGGAGGAAAUUGUUCCCAGGGAACCCACUCCCAACUUUCAUUUUUUUCAGGCUCUACAUUCUUUGGUUCUGAAUCAUGAGUCACGUCCACUUCUCCUUUCAUUAAUACAGUAACAUAAUGGUAAUUCUUCUCAGUGAAAGAAUUCACAACUGAGGCAAAGCGAACAUUUUUCAGGUGAAGAGCUUCUUCCCAGGUUUCCCUUUGAGCACAUUCUUCCCAGUUCUUACUGAACUCCAAAAUGACCCCCAGAAAGCUGAAAACUGCUGGCUCCAAAUGACCCUUUCCUCCUCCCCAGGAGGACACAACACGGAUGCUUGCAGCUGGUCACCACAACUCAGACUCUGACUCUGGGCGGCCGCCCCUGCGGCUUCAUGUUGGCUGUCAUAGUGCAAGCAGGAGGACCAAAAAAUAUGUUU
rnacentral:lncRNA from 1 species